UGGGGAAUAUUGCACAAUGGGCGAAAGCCUGAUGCAGCGACGCCGCGUGAGCGAAGAAGGCCUUCGGGUCGUAAAGCUCUUUCCUAUGGGACGAUAAUGACGGUACCAUAGGAGGAAGCCCCGGCUAACUACGUGCCAGCAGCCGCGGUAAUACGUAGGGGGCGAGCGUUGUCCGGAAUGACUGGGCGUAAAGGGUACGUAGGCGGCCAGGUAAGUCAGGUGUGAAAGUCUAGGGCUCAAACCUAGUGAGCAAUUGAAACUGCUUGGCUUGAGUCGAGGAGAGGAAGGUGGAAUUCCUGGUGUAGCGGUGAAAUGCGUAGAUAUCAGGAGGAAUACCAGUGGCGAAGGCGACCUUCUGGCCUUGGACUGACGCUGAGGUACGAAAGCGUGGGGAGCAAACAGG
rnacentral:rRNA from 1 species